GAGCCUAUAACUCAGUUGGUUAGAGUAUACGCCUGAUAAGCGUAAAGUCGACUGUUCAAGUCAGUCUAGGCUCA
rnacentral:tRNA from 1 species